UAGGGAAUCUUCCGCAAUGGGCGAAAGCCUGACGGAGCAACGCCGCGUGAGUGAUGAAGGUCUUCGGAUCGUAAAACUCUGUUAUUAGGGAAGAACAAAUGUGUAAGUAACUAUGCACGUCUUGACGGUACCUAAUCAGAAAGCCACGGCUAACUACGUGCCAGCAGCCGCGGUAAUACGUAGGUGGCAAGCGUUAUCCGGAAUUAUUGGGCGUAAAGCGCGCGUAGGCGGUUUUUUAAGUCUGAUGUGAAAGCCAACGGCUCAACCGUGGAGGGUCAUUGGAAACUGAAAAACAUGAGUGCAGAAGAGGAAAGUGGAAUUCCAUGUGGAGCGGUGAAAUACUCAGAAAUAUGGAGAAACACCAGUGGUAAAGGCGACUUUCUGGUCUGUAACUGAAGAUAAUGUGCGAAAGCGUGGGGAUCAAACAGG
rnacentral:rRNA from 1 species